rnacentral:rRNA from 1 species
AGCAGCCGCGGUAAUUCCAGCUCCAAUAGCGUAUAUUAAAGUUGUUGCAGUUAAAAAGCUCGUAGUUGAAUUUCGGGAUUAGUAAGUUGGUCGUGCCUCUGGUAUGUACUGGCUUUACUGGUUCCUCCUUCUUGAAGAACUGUAAUGUCAUUAAUUUGGUGUUGCAAGGAAACAGGACUGUUACUUUGAAAAAAUUAGAGUGUUUAAAGCAGGCUAACGCUUGAAUACAUUAGCAUGGAAUAAUGAAAUAGGACGUUUGAUCCUAUUUUGUUGGUUUCUAGGAUUGACGUAAUGAUUAAUAGGGAUAGUUGGGGGCAUUAGUAUUCAAUUGUCAGAGGUGAAAUUCUUGGAUUUAUUGAAGACUAACUACUGCGAAAGCAUUUGCCAGGAUGUUUUCAUUAAUCAAGAACGAAAGUUAGGGGAUCGAAGACGAUCAGAUACCGUCGUAGUCUUAACCAUAACUAUGCCGACUAGGGAUCGGAUGAUGUUAAUUUUUANGUACUCAUUCGGCGCCUUACGG